CGCUUUUUUAUGUAAAAGUUGAUACUUUUUGGAGAUGGCUUAAAUGUACGGCAAAACGAACCAAGCGGACAACUUCUUCUGCUGCUGCUAAAUCGACAGCGGCCCCACGAACUCCGUCUCUCCCCCAUUAAAGUCCCAUCUUUCGUGCGCAGCUCGGGUUCCCGGUGAGCGCGAGAGAUGGGUAGCUCGGGUUCUCGUGAUGGUGGCAUCAGGAGGAGCUCGAGGGCUUUUCUACAACUGGGAAGUGAAGCAAGAGAUGAUGGGCUCCUCCUACAAGGAGCAGGUUGUCACCAUCAAUGGACGGCACCCCGGCCCCCACCAUCCAGGCUCAUCAUCAGGGAAACAGAGUUUUCGUCAGGGUUACCAACAGGUUGAGCCAGAAUGUCGCGAUCCAUUGGCACGACACCCAACAGAUUCAAAGUCUAGGGAGCGAUGGAACAGGUGAUGUAACUUUCACCUAUAUUUUCAUCGUCCAUCAGCUUGGAAAAUCUCAGUACGACUCCUAUUACACAAUGCAAAUGGUGGCUGGACUGCAUGGGUUGAUCGAUGUUUUGCCACUGUACAGCAUGGCGGAGCCAUUCGCUCAAAGAUUAUGACAAGAGCAUCAUCCUCGACAACUGGUACUACUAAAGCUAUCAUGAUUGGGCGGCAGAGCCUGAGUUUCUGCUGAUUCCCAGGACGGCUCGUAAUGCCAUCAAUCCUGAAUAUUUGCACUGGAGGGUCGUCCUUGGUAAAACGUAUCACCUCAAUAUUUCGAGUGUGACCACUCAUUGUACUCUCAGCUUUCAGAUUGAGGGUCACAACCUUACUGUUGUUGAAGUGGAUGGGCACUAUGUAGAGCCAUUUGUGAACCAAAGCCUGAUCAUCUACUCGGGUAAGACAUACUCCGUCAAGAUCAAAGCCGAUCAAGAUCCGUCGAGAAAUUACUUGAUCACGACCGACAUUGUUGGCCAGAAUGCCACUGCGACAACCCCUCUCGGUCUGGCCGUGCGCAGCUACUCCCCACCCACUGGCCCGAUUCGGAAUGGCGUCACACCACAGUCAGUUCAGAGCCUGGGGAACAAAGCCUGCCAAGCAACGGAACUGUGCGCAUCAUGAAUGAAAAACUAUAAAAGAAGCAGAGCCCUGCAAUGUUGGGUUUGAUGCUGCAGAGCAUAUAGGCAUUGGAUGGCAAAAAGAGAAGCAACAGAACUGUGGACACCGUUGGGUUUCUAUGCCUUUUCGUGACUUGCGAUUGGCAGGGGCUCUAGGGCCUUUCUACAACUGGGAAGUGAAGCAGGAGCUGAUGGGCUCCUACAAGAAGGAGGUCGUCACCGUCAACGGACAGACUUCCGGCCCCACCAUCCAGGCACAUCAGGGAGAGAGUUUUCGUCAGACUUGCCAACAUUUUGAGCGAGAAUGUGGCGAUUCAUUGGCACAACACCCAACAGAUUCAAAGUCUAGAGAGCGAUGGAACAGGUGACGUCAUUCCAAGGCCCAUUUCAGAAAAACUUUCACCUAUAUUUUCAUCAUCCAUCAGCUUGGAAAAUCUCAGUUACGACUCCUAGUACGAUUCCUAUUACACACAAUGCAAACGGUGGCUGGACUGCAUGGGUUGAUCGAUAUUUUGCCACCACCUUACGGCAUGGGCGAGCCAUUCCUUUACGAAAGUGAUCAUUCCGUAAGACAAAAGUACCAGUAAGAUUACAACCGUGAACUGGCUAGAGGCAGGAAACUCGGCAUGGGCAACAAGUCAUUUCGAUGGCAUCAGACAUAGUUAUCUGUGAACUCGCUAGAGGAAGCAAACUCGACAGAAAAAACCAUAUUGCCUGAUCAUGAAAGUGACCAUUCCAUAAGACAAAAGUACCAGUAACAACCAAGAAGAUGACAGCCCAGAUUGAACAGAGAACCAUAGAAUGUCUCUUAUCUCCCCAGCUUGCUAAAUAGUAUGAAAUUAUGGGACCAUUAUGUCCAUUACCGCAUGUCAGGGCCAUUAAUAUCGUUCUAGGAGUUCUCAAGAGACCCAUAAUGAGAUUGGUAUUGGGGGUCUCAGUUAAAUUCCACAAUGAUGACAUGCAAAAAAUCCACGGCAGUGCCAAAAAAGGAGUGUGCCUGACAUUGGCAUAAGCAACGAAUAAAAAGAGAUAUCUAUAGUAAGUGGAAAUGUUAAUACAAUUAUGUACCUAUCGCUGGCUAAAGAGCAUUUAUUGCCACAACA